rnacentral:rRNA from 1 species
GAUGAACGCUGGCGGCGUGCCUAAUACAUGCAAGUCGAGCGAACAGACGAGGAGCUUGCUCCUUUGACGUUAGCGGCGGACGGGUGAGUAACACGUGGAUAACCUACCUAUAAGACUGGGAUAACUUCGGGAAACCGGAGCUAAUACCGGAUAACAUGUUGAACCGCAUGGUUCAACAGUGAAAGACGGUCUUGCUGUCACUUAUAGAUGGAUCCGCGCCGCAUUAGCUAGUUGGUAAGGUAACGGCUUACCAAGGCAACGAUGCGUAGCCGACCUGAGAGGGUGAUCGGCCACACUGGAACUGAGACACAGUCCAGACUCCUACGGGAGGCAGCAGUAGGGAAUCUUCCGCAAUGGGCGAAAGCCUGACGGAGCAACGCCGCGUGAGUGAAGAAGGUCUUCGGAUCGUAAAACUCUGUUAUUAGGGAAGAACAAAUGUGUAAGUAACUAUGCACGUCUUGACGGUACCUAAUCAGAAAGCCACGGCUAACUACGUG